AGAUUUACAUAGACUCUUUUGAGAAUAAAUUGCCCGAGGAAACAAGAAAGGUCUUAGCAACAGAGGGAAGGAACUUCGUGCAAAACAAGAGAGAUGUGGAACAUUUUUCUUGUACCGAUUUGUCGUCUAUAUGACUGCUUGGGAAAAACGUCUGUUCCUGUUCUCUUGUUUAAGCCUACUGAUUUGAAGAAGCCAAAGAAUCCUUAAUAGACAGAGACUGCAUUGAAAGAUACAAGGAAAACCCAAACCAGCUGAAGUAGAUUGCCUAAAACACUGGCCUUAACCUGAACAUUUGAUACUCUUUCCACUUUCAGUGGGUACCUCAUGAAUAAAUACUGGUGUCUGAAAGAAAGCAAUGUCUUAAAAUACAAAUGCAGAAUUAAAAUUUCCAUAAACGUUAUUACUUAAAGCAUAUACCUCUAUGAGUGAAAAUUUCGUUUAAUGCCGCUGUCUACAAUAUA